AGUGCCGAUCUGGGCCACAGGUUAUCUGAGCCUCUGGCUGUUCUCCCCCUCGGACACAGCGAUGGUGCUGCAGCAGAGUUUCUGGCUGUGACGACAAGGGGCUUUGAGAUUGCUGCCAACGCACACCUGCCAGGGAUGGGGCAGCGGCCUCCUGCCCCGGGCCCCUCGGCCUUCUUGGACCCUGAUGAUGGCCAGCCCAGCAGAUGGAGGCUCCUGCCCUGCGUCCCUGAGGUGCUGAGUGGCGGCUGCCGGACCUCUGUGUGUGAGAAUAGUUCUUACUCCGCCAAGCCUCAGAACCACCAGCUGGGGAAACGUCCCUUUCGCGUCGACACCCUCCAGACCCUGGUGACAGAGAUUUGGAGUGAAAGAAACCCGGCCAUCUGAACAAAAUCUCAGAUGGGCGCGGAGUGAGGAAGGGGAGUCUAAUGCAUCCAGGUCAACGGCCCGCUGUGCCCCAGGUGCGGCCGGAACCACACCCGGGCAAGAGUGGCGGAUUAGCAAACGCAGAACCCGUGAGUAGUGGGCCCACAGCUACACACGCUGCUGAGCAGGAGGUUCUGGGGCAUCACUGGGUGGUCCUCGGGGACCCCCGGGGUGCUCGGACCGCGCGGUGCCAGGGACUGAUCUAGGGCCCCUGCACGCAAACACACGAUUCUUACUCAGCCCUGGCCGGGGUCCCCACCUGGACACAGUGGGUCAGACGUGCAGGUGGCGCCCCAGACCUCGCGGCGGCCAGGGGAUGCCAGGGCCCAGGCCAGGCAGGGCAGAGCCAGGGGGCAAACGUGAGGAAGGGCCGAGCCUCCCGCCGAGGCUGGCCGAGGAAGGGCCAAAGCAGGGUCAGCGUUAGUUUCUGGGUCGGCCGGGGCCCUGGUUAAGCGCGGGGAACGCCCGUCGGACGAGGCGUGGCUGGCCGGCCGGAGCAGCGGGGCAGGGGAAGGUGCCGGCUGCACCCGUCCACCCGGUGUGGCCGCUGGACCACGUGCCGUCUCCAGCCCCACAGGAGUGACCGCUGGGCCGCAGCCAGGGGCCAGGAGCCAGCCCUGCGGCGUCGGGCACUGCAGGGGGCUCGGGGCCUCGAGCAGGCCGGGGCGGGGUCAACGGGUCUAAGCCGCGGCGAGGGUCCGAGCGGGGUCAGCGGGUCCGAGCGGGGUCAGCGGGUCCGAGCGGGGUCAGCGGAACGGAGCGGGGGUCAGCGGGCCGGGGGUCAGCGUGUCGGAGCGGGGGUCAGC